CCACCGGCAGCUGACAACCCUGCUCCGGCAGUUCCGCAGAACAACGCGCCUCCGGCUGGCGCACCGUCAAGUAACUAAUCACGAAGGCUGAACGUCAGGGCGGGCAUCUUCACGGAUGCCCGCUCUUUUUCGUUCCGUCAUUUCCGAUCCUUCGCCACCUUGAUGAAGAAGCCAUUGAUCUCCGCAUGCGUCACGGCAUGAGCCAACUCGGAGAACGAUCCCUUCUCGGCGAUCUCUCGCGCGGCGCGAAGAAAUCCUCCCCACG
rnacentral:misc_RNA from 1 species